rnacentral:rRNA from 1 species
UACAGAGGUGGCAAGCGUUGUUCGGAAUUACUGGGCGUAAAGGGCGCGUAGGCGGUUCGUUAAGUCCUGUGUGAAAUCUCCCGGCUCAACUGGGAGGGUGCGCCGAAAACUGGAAAGCUAGAGUACUGGAUGGGAGAGUGGAAUUCCUGGUGUAGCGGUGAAAUGCGUAGAUAUCAGGAGGAACACCUGUGGUGUAGACGGCUCUCUGGACAGUCACUGACGCUGAGACACGAAAGCGUGGGUAGCAAACAGG